rnacentral:misc_RNA from 1 species
ACAAAGCAAGGAGGAGAAGCUGAAACGUGUUCAUCAGGCCUUGGUAAUUAUCUGAACCCUUCUAUAAUUUUUUAAGAAAGUAACGAUUUAACAAUGAUGAUUAUUGGAUUAAGAUGAAAUCAAAGCCAAAAUAGUCAAUUUCAGCCAAUUUAGCAUCUUGCAAGGCAACAGCCAACAAAAAAAUGUAUCCCUUUAACAUUUUCAGGUCUAAUCACUUUGGCAAAACACAGUUUUUAAAAUCAUUAGCACAACAAUUAGAAACGAAAACAAAAGGCUUAGAAAUUUUUGAAAAAUUUAGAAAUUAGAAGUAAG